CAAUUCUCUUGAAGACCCUCCUUAAUCCCGUUUUUCGCUGGCCACAAAGGCCACUUGUGUGCGACCCCGCUGGACUAUGGACUGGGAUGAUGUGGAUGUCUGCUCGGAUUCCAGCUCUUUCAGUGCAGGUAUGAUGUUGAGAUCCAGCUUUGACACAUGGGACAGUUGAAGGCCUCACGCAGAAUUCAUAAAACAUUGCAAACAUCUGAUGCUUGAGGAGGCAAGGCACAAUAUUAAAGGAAAUAACUUACUAUUGCAUCGAAAUAUAAGGUGGAUAGCCAGCAUGGAUAUUUCCUUGACUGCAGACCAUGAAAAUUGAUCAGAAUUCUGUGUAAUUGUGUGGGAGUGACUCAGUAUUACUGAGAAAAUGAGCUCUGUUUGAGAAGUGAUUUCUGCUGAUAACACACAUCACACUUAUCUGAAACUAGCAGUGAAAGCCAGGUUUCGAUGUGACCGAGAGCUCACUAGUGGUCCUUCUGAUGUUGGAGCUCAAUAUCUGCAGUCUGGAACAUCACGCCUCUCUCAGUUCUCAUAAAGCAGACUUCAGUUAUGUAAUCUCUCUCUCUCUCUCUCUCUCUCUCUCUCUCUCUCUCUCUCCUCUCUCUCUCUCUCUCUCUCUCUCUCUCUCUCUCUCUCUCUCUCUCUCGGACUCAGACACAAGACAGGAGCUCUGUAAUGCAACUGUCAAGACCAUCUAUCAUAAAUGAGCAGCACAAAUUUGAUAUAUUAAAAAUAAUAGUAUUCAUAAACAAAUCUCCCUCUCUCUCUUUCUUCCUACAAAGUGUGUUCUGUUAUGCACUACAUGGGAGAGGUGAGGAGAUGGGUAAAAGGAAGGUUUAAGGUCAG
ensembl:lncRNA